GACAACAACAAAAGAAAAACGUAAAACAAAAAAAUGGUUGUCUCGAGAGCAAAAGUCGAUCCGACAACAUAGAUCAGAUUCAGUCGACAAUGGAUCAGACAACCUCUAUUUUCGAAUUAGAAAACCCAGAGUAAGAUCCAUCAUCAAUCUGUCUUAAUGGAGUUUCCGAUGUCUUCUUCAAUUGAUAAGUGAGCGUUUUAGUAGAGCUUGAAAAUCUAUAAACGAAUAUGGGUCUUCUUUCAAAGGAACUCGAAUGACGAACACUUAACCAAAGAUAAGUAACGAUACCCAUUUCUUAAUUUGUAAAUACAUAUGACUUAUAGAUCCAAAAACUCUAAUCUUUUAUUUUACCUGGUCAGGGUUAAAUUACUUUCAAUAAGAGGAAGCCUAGAGACAACAAUUGGAUUGAAGUUUGGCCUAAAACUUACCUAUGAGUUUUGGAUUUCUUUUUCCUUGCAAGUAGGGAAAAAUUUCGUCUACAAUGGAUCACUAUUCACUAAGCUUUUGAGUGGAGCUUGGAGAUAUAUAAUCGAAUUGAGUCUUCUUUCAAAGUCAGCAAAAAGAAAUGAAGAACACUAAAUCAAAGAUAAGUAAUGAAACCCUCUUAUUGAUUUGUAGAUGCCUCUACUACAAUCUUUUAAAACUCUAAUGUUUAAUUUUACUUGGUCAGGGUACAAUUACUUUCAGUAAGACGAUAAUUGGGGAACAAAUGUGUUGAAGGUUGACUUAUAAGAAACCGGGUAAUUCCUGUUACAGGAUUACAUAAGUGAAACUUUGAAAAUAGAAGUGGAAGAGUAACGAAGCAAUCUAUACUAUAUAUAUUGGAUUUUAUCUUCACAAAUCUGAGGACACAGGUGAUGAUGCUUCCAUGAGAGUCUUGACAGUAUGUAAAUACGUGCUCGGCCAAGGAACCCCACAAGAACAAGUUGCGGAGCUGUGCGCGUUUAGCAUGCCAAAAAAUCUGCACUAACAUUUGCAGUUCGAGAAGCAUGACCAAUCAUGCACUGUAUGGCCUUCCAUUGAUUGGUGGUAUCCAUAGUAGGCGACGGACCACGGAAAGAAGUACACUUCUUGCAAUAUCAUCAGUCGCUUUCCAAGAUCUAUCGACGAAACACCGAUAACUGUAUAAACCAGAGAUUGUGCUCUCCCUGAUCCUAGGAGAAGAACCGAUGUGAGCCAAGAGAGAGACAAUGCUAUAUAUGUUACAUUUUAUUCAUGGACUAACGCACGCACAAACUAAUCCAAGCACGAACAUUAAUGAAUAUACAAAAGCUUAGCUUAACUCUAUAAAUCAAGGCAUGUAAAGUAUUAAUGUUGAUGAUAUCCAAGUGAGAAAAUCAAGAUGAUU